GUGCUUGCUUCGGUAGCACACCUACUAAACUUGGAACGAUACAGAGAAGAUUAGCAUGGCUCCUGUGCAAGGAUGACAUGCAAAUUCGUGAAGUGUUCCAUAUUUAA